rnacentral:tRNA from 1 species
CCGGCAAGGGACGCAGCGGCGGCGAAAGCGGCGUGCUCCGCCGCCAGGUGCCGGAAUGGCUGAGCCUGCCGGAGUUCCGCGCCUUCGUCGUCGGC